CGCUCCCCGGGAUCCUUGACAACCGCAGCGCCGGGGCUGACGCGCCACAGAGGCCGGAAGUGCGUCAUGCGGCGGCCCUCUGGUAGUGCGGUGAUGGCUGCGUCCCUUCUAGGAAUUCCGGAGGUGUCCGCACAUCGGUGGUCGCCGAGAGCGCUCUGAAACUAGCAAUACUGCUUUAGUAGAGACCGAUCUGGUGACAACCAACUUGAGAGGCUUAACACAUAUAUUUAUUCGCCGAACCCUGACUUGAAGCUAGUGAAAUGAUACAAACAAAUGAAGGUAAAGGGAUCAUCCAAACCUCAGCACAGCUGAUGUGGUCAUUGUUCCAUGGUGACACACCAAGAGAUGUGCUCCUUCCUGGGUGGUAUACCUCUCAAGAGAAUAAAAGGAAAAGCUUC